CUUUUUACCUGGCAGGGAAGAUACCAUGUCCAUGAUAGUGGUUUCCCCAAGGUGAGGCACAUCCAUCGCUCUGUGGGCAUGGCUACCUCUGCAGUUUCCCAAUAGCAGAGAGUCCACUGUUUUGUUAAUGAAAUUGCCUCCUUUGGAGCAGGCC
rnacentral:snRNA from 1 species